rnacentral:rRNA from 1 species
GACGAACCGUGCGAACGUUAUUCGGAUUCAUUGGGCUUAAAGAGCACGUAGGCGGCGAUAUAAGUUGGGGGUGAAAUACUGUCGGCUCAACCGCGGAAUUGCCUUCAAUACUGUAUUGCUUGAGGAGUUUAGGGGCGAGUGGAACUUCCGGUGGAGCGGUGAAAUGUGUUGAGAUCGGAAGGAACGCCAGUGGCGAAAGCGACUCGCUGGGGAUUUUCUGACGCUGAGGUGCGAAAGCCAGGGGAGCAAACGGG